rnacentral:rRNA from 1 species
CCUACGGGUGGCAGCAGUGGGGAAUAUUGGACAAUGGGGGCAACCCUGAUCCAGCCAUGCCGCGUGUGUGAAGAAGGCCCUCGGGUUGUAAAGCACUUUCAGUGAGGAAGAACGCCUGGUGGUUAAUACCCAUCAGGAAAGACAUCACUCACAGAAGAAGCACCGGCUAACUCCGUGCCAGCAGCCGCGGUAAUACGGAGGGUGCGAGCGUUAAUCGGAAUUACUGGGCGUAAAGCGCGCGUAGGUGGCUUGAUAAGCCGGUUGUGAAAGCCCCGGGCUCAACCUGGGAACGGCAUCCGGUACUGUCAAGCUAGAGUGCAGGAGAGGAAGGUAGAAUUCCCGGUGUAGCGGUGAAAUGCGUAGAGAUCGGGAGGAAUACCAGUGGCGAAGGCGGCCUUCUGGACUGACACUGACACUGAGGUGCGAAAGCGUGGGUAGCAAACAGGAUUAGAUACCCGAGUAGUC